AAAAAAAAAAAAAAAAGAAAGAAGAUAUUCCUAAUUUUGAAAUGCCCUGUGACACCCUGACAUUUUCUUACAUACUCUUUAAAAAAUAUUAAUAAUAAAAAAUAGAGUUUGCCUUUCAGUUUUAGUUAUGGUAUAUUCUGACAUACACAUACUUACAUUUUCAUUUUAUCAGAUCAUUUUUUUCUUUCUUUUUAUGUUCAGAAACUCUGUGAGACUCCAAAUACUACAAUGUUGGGGUUCUUAAAACAGCCAGGGACUCCAGCAUACAGCACCCUCCGUUCCUCCUCUGGAAGUGCUUUUCACCUGUAGCUAUUAGAGUUCUCAGUUGAAAACAACAGAAACCAACUUUGGUUAACUUAAACAUAAAAGGAAUUGAUUGCAAAGAAACCCAAUAAUGAGAAGGCUUGAGCAUCGGGGUCAGAAGAUGGGCAGGAGAUGAGUGAGGCUGCGCAGCUGCAGCUGGAAUCAUGGCCUGGGCCUGGCACAGGGUCAGUUUGUUGUGGGGCCUGCUGCUGGGUCACCACCUCUGUCACUGCCACCACUGAGCCCUUGGCUAUCUGUGUUCUGUAGUUUAAUAAUAAAAUGUAUGUAAAAAUUUUAGGGUUAAAAAUUACCAUGACACUGUACUAUUAAAAAUUCUACUAACCUCUGUUUUCAAAUUGUCUUCCCCCAACUUCCCCCAAAUUGUCACAUGAGAACAGACAAUAGACUACAUCACAUGACAGGAAGUGGUGCUUUUAGGGCAGAAGUGAGUAUUGGAAGUCCUUUCCUGCCCUACUGAAGCCUGAACAAUAUUGGGUAUGGCAUGUUUAAUGUUACAAUAUACCUCAUGUCCUGAUGAGUCAUGGGACCGUCAUUUGAACUGCUGCUUGUGCUGUGAAAAAUUUCUCAAGUUCACUGUGCCCUUACAUGACUGUCUCAAGGUCCAGAGCGGGACAUGGAGAUGGCAGAACCUAAGUCACAUGCUAGUGCCUUCUUUGUAAGGCUUCCCAAAAGUGUGCCCUGCCCCCACCUCCUCUGGGAUUUCCCCCACAGUAGAAAGGGGGUUUGGAUGCUGGAGAGUCAAAACAGAAGACUUCAUAGUGCACCUAUUUGCCCUUGCUGAUACCCAGUGGUCUCCCACCUGCUUUGCAUUCCGGCCAAGUGACUGCUGCUGCUCUCCAAUCUCCAUGACCACAUCUGGGCAGGGGUGAGGUCAGCGUUCCUUUUAUCCUUACUGCUAUUUCAAAACCUUUGUUUCCUCCUCAUGUUAGAUCUUUCUGGAGGCUCAUGCCAUCUGGCUAGAAUGUCCUUUAUACCAUUGUAGUUGGGGUUAUUUAUUAUCUCUUCCACGUUCAUUAGGAAUGUCAUCUAGCUCCCCAUUCUGGUUCUAUCUUUGUCCUGAGUGUGACUUUAACAUAUUUAUGCCUUAAUCGUCUAACAUUUGACUUUAUAAUUAAAGUUGAUCUUAUAGUUGGCUUUACAGUUAUGAGUUGGCCUCCAUUUUAAUCCUAUAGACAACUUUAAUUUAAUGUUAAACUGAAUUUACCAUCUAUCCAUUCCAAACCUGCCUCUAUUCCUGAAUUCUUAGUUAACAGCAUGACUAUCCUCCAAGUUUCCCAAGCCAGGAAUCAGUGAGUCAUUCUGACUCCUCUUCCUUUCUGGGCAUCUAAUACCCAAUCUAGUUACUGUAGAUACCACAUCCUUAAAAAUCUCGAAUCCAUUUCUUGUCUUUAUUUGUCUUAACCAUUGCCUUAGUACAAGUUUAGAUUUCUUUUCAUGUGGUUAACUGUAAUAUCCUUCUGACUUAUUUCUAUUUUUAAAAUGCAUUCUCUUCAAUCUAUUCCCACAUGCCAAAGUAAUCUUCCUAAAACAAAUCUGAUCAUCUCAUUCUUUCCCUGAAAUCCUUUUGUGGCUCCCUUAGGUCUCAGAAUAAAAAUAAAAUUCAUCCUUUUAAAUAAAAGUCUGACCUUGAUAUGACCUUUGACUAUUUCUGUGAUUCAACUACUGUAUUUCCUGUUAGGUGAAUUUUGUUCUAGACAAAUAUAGAAUUCUCCAAAUUGGUGUUUUACUCUCUUUGCUUCUUUUCUAUGUUCAUGCCUAUUAACAUUUUAUUUUAUUUUUUGUUUUUAUUUUUAUUUUUAUUUUUUGAGACAGAGUCUUGCCCUGUUGCCCAGUCUGGAGUGCAGUGGUGUGAUCUCGGCUCACUGCAACCUCUGCCUCCUGGGUUCAAGCAAUUCUCAUGCCUCAGCCUCCAGAGUUGCUGGGAUUACAGGCAUGUGCCGCCACGCCUGGCUAAUUUUUGUAUUUUUGAUAGAGAGAGAGUUUUGCCAUAUUGGCUAGGCUGGUCUUGAACUCCUGACCUCAAGUGAUCCACCCGCCUUGGCCUCCUAAAGUGUUGGGAUUACAGGUGUGAGCCACCGCGCCCAGCCCUCCUAUUAACGUUUUAAAACUCAACGUAAUUUUUGAGUGAUAUAUUAUAGGCAGGUAAUAUUUUUGAGAUUUUUAGUAUGGACUUGUGAUCCAAUUUGGAGCCAGCAGAGGCAUUAUCUGGGACUUUUCUCCUGAAGGAGCAGGAAAGGCCGUAUUUUGCCUUUCAGGUUAGGGUGCUGUAAAGAUGUGAACCUGGGGUUCCUACCACUUGGAGUAGGAACUCACGGAGUAGGGUACUCAUGACAGAAAGAAUGACAUCUAUGUCUAGAGGGAAGCAGAGAUAAGGACUAGUGCAAGGGAGUAUGAGAGUAAGAAACCAAGUCUUGGUGACAUUAUUUGGGUCCUGGAUCUAUUGUGCUUGAUGUGAGAUCUAUUCUGGUUCUUUCUAGUUAUUCGCUGAUUAAAUCCAUUCCUCCACUUUUUCACUCCAACUAGAAUGAUUUAGCUUUUAUCACUUGAGAUCAAAAAAGUCCACGGAAAUCCAAUAGAAUCAAAGAAUUAAGAUUCUUUAUAAUUGUAGUUUUUGACAUGUUGCUUCUAGCUAGUAUUAUUUUGACAGAUGGUUUUCAUGGGAAACCUAGAGGCUUGUGUAUAUGUAUGUGUUAACUUUUAAGUCUACAUAAAGAGGGCUGUACUAAAGAGUAGCUCAGACUUUGCCUGAAUUAGCACUGGAAGUAUAAAAAGGGAAAGCCUAAGUGUCUUUUUAGAAAGCUUAUUUGUAAUUUUAUAUCAUUUAGCCUAACCGUUCUCAACUCUGGCUGUACAUUACAUGCAUCUAAUAAUUUUUUUUUUUUUUUUUUUUUUUGAGAGAGAUGUCCCAAUAUGUUGCCCAGGCUGAUCUUCAACUCUUGGGCUCAAGGGAUCCUCCUGUUUCAGCCUCCUGAGUAGCUGGAAUUAUAAGUGUGCACCAUUGUCCCGGCAAUGCCUGUGACUCUCCCAGACAAAGUAAACAGAAUGUCUGGGGAUGGGAGACAAGCAAUGGUUUUUUGUUGUUUUUUUUUUUGAAGCUUCUCAGGUUUCUACUUUCAACAAGGGUUGAGAACCACUGAUCUAACAUAAUAUUUUUCCUCUUUCCUUUGAGGAGUUCAGGUUACUCACACAUGGCAUCUGUUGGCCUCUUUUGCUCAAUGUAAUGUUCCCUGUAGUGAGCAUAACAUUAGAAACUAAGUUGCUGGCUUUCAUGUUGUUUUCUAGGUUGACAUUAAUUUCUGCAAAACUGGCCAGGAACAUGUGAUUGAGCACGCCAGACCUUUAUUUCUUAACGUAAUAAUGUGGCUAUAAAUGCAAGUCUCUAUAAACUAAGUUACUCUAAAUUGUCUUGCUUAGAUUUGUAUUUUCUGAGAUUUAUCUUGAUAAGAGCUUUAUUUAAAAAAAGUGACACUAGAAGUAAAGAGAAUAUAACUUUCAGUAAUAAAACUGAUGCAAAAGAAAACCAUUAGAACGAUACUAAAAUAAACUCAACUGAUGUAAUUAUGUGUUUAAUCUGUGGACAAAAAUGUUCCUUAGAUUCAGAUGUACAUUUUAGUCUAUUUUCCCUAAGAGUUCACCAACAUUUCCAUAUUAAAAGCAGUUUCUGUCCAAGGUUAAAAGUAUAUUCAGUUUUUGAUGAUGUAUCUGAUUAAAGACAGAUAAAUAUAUAUAUAUAUUUGUUUGUUUGUUUGUUUGUUUUUUGAAACGGAGUCUCACUGUCACCCAGGCUCUAGUGCAGUGGCACCAUGUAGGCUCACUGCAAUAUUCUGCCACAGAGGCUCAAGUGAUUCUCGUGCCUCAGCCUCCCCAGUAGCUGGGAUUACAGGUACCACCACGCCCAGCUAAUUUUUUUAUUUUUAGUAGAGAUGGGGUUUCACCAUGUUGGCCAGGCUGGUCUUGCACUCUUGCCUCAAGUGAUGUACUGCCUUGGCCUCCCAAAGUGCUGGGAUUACAGACAUGAGCCACUGUACCCUGCCAAAGGCAGAUACAUUUUUUCUUAAUUCCCAGUUUAUGACAGCUACCAGUUGCCUUUAGGUAUUAUAUAUACACAUACACAUAUUUGUUUUGUUUUACUCUAAUUGCAAUGGCAUUUAAAUAAAUCCACAGAAAAUGAUGGCUAGAAAGAAAACAAUAGAGAAAUGUAGAAAUUAAUUAAAUGUACUUAAUUCAUCAUACAAGCAUUUAACAGCAGGCUGGCAGGGUGCAAUGGCUCAUGCCUAUAAUCCCAGCACUCUGGGAGGCCCAGGUGGGAAGAUUGCUUGAGGCCAGAAGGUAAAAAUUAGCCUUGGCAACAUAUGAAGAACCCCUUUCUACAAAAAAAUUAAAAAAUUAGCCAGGUGUGUGGUGGUGUGUGCCUAUAGUCCCAGCUACUCAGGAGGCUGGGCAGGAGGAUCACUGAAGCCUAGGAGCUUGAGGCUGCAGUGAGCUAUGAUCACGCCACUGCACUCCAGCCUGGGCAACACAGUGGGACCUGGUCACAAACAAUCAAACACCCAGCACGCCUUCUUUGUGCCCAACAUGGCCUUCAGGCUGAGAGGAAUACAAUCCUGAUCAUCUGGAAUUUAUAGUCUAAUUGGAGAGAGAAGACAUAACAGAAAAAUUAAAUAAACUUACAGGAAGUAUGUGAUUGAAUGUCAGUCUGAAUGGUAAUGACAAUAAGUACUGUAUCUCAGAUAAGAGAUAUGUACAAAAUAAGCUUCCUAGAAGAUGUGAAAUGAUAAAGACUUUUUGGACUUUCUCUAUAGGCUUCAAUUCCCUGUGGUGGGUUUUUAGUUUCAUAUUUUGACAAGACUCAAAUCAGAAGCAAGUUCCCUUGUUUUGUUUUCACAAUCUACCUUUUUUAGAACAUUGUUUAGAAAGUUAUAUAUUGAGGGGUGAGCUGACAUUAUUUGACUAGAUUUCCAAAACUUAAAAUAUGUAGGUUAUAGUUUUAAAAAUUUGGAUUGAAUUUUGUUUAUCCCAGUUUCUUCUGAUAUAGUAGAAGGUUGUGCGAGCUCAUAGAGAAAUCUUGGCCGUUGGUCUAGAGGAUUGUUAGUGAGUGACAGGGCUCAGAUCCACAGAGCCUUUGGGGAAUGGCUAAUUAUUUUAACCUGGGGGCUCUCAUGAGCUUAUUGACAAGUAGUCAGACACUCUGGCCUUCCCUAGGCAUUUCCAGUUGCCCUUUCUAGUUUAUCUUACCUCUGCUCGGGAAUGGUAGCAACUGGAGGUGUCUCAAUCAUUACGAGUAAUUAAUGAUUGACUUUUCCGAUCCAUUAGAGUGCCUAUCCCACACAGAUGGCACAGUCACAUGUGACAAUUCUAGAGUGGAAGAGAAAGAAAUGAAAUGUGGUGAACAAUUGCACCUGUCUAAUAUCCUAGUUUUUUUGUGCUUCUAAGGGUGUGUCUAAUGGAAACAUUAUUUACCACAUGUGUCCUGGUGCCAAAAAGGUACAAAACAAUUGUUCUAGUAUAAGGAUAGAGAUAGUUCUUCUAGCAUAAGGAUAGAGAUAUUUCUUCUAGCAUAAGGAUAGAGAUAUUUCUUCUAGCAUAAGGAUAGAGAUAUCUCUUCUAGCAUAAGGAUAGAGAUAUUUCUCUAUCCUUAUACUUACUGGGAAAGAAAGCUCCCCUCCUCUUUUUUUUGUCUGGGUCUAAAUCAACUUUUUGGUGGCUGGUCAAAAUCGCUUUCCUUUCAGCCACUUGAAUGCUGGUUCAAUUAGGCCCUUUCUCCUCAGGGCACCUAUCCCUUAUUAAAAAAUCACCUAAGUUGCCCUCGAUGUUUAACAAUGCCAUCCACUUCUAAUGACUUCUUACUGUUUUUUUUUUUCUCCUGAAAUUCUCUAGCUUUCUUUAUAUGUUUGCCUCUUUGCUUUCAUUCACUGUGGCUUUUUAUUUUGAUUCCUCCUCUGAGCAUCAACUUCUGGUCCACUGUCUCAAAUCAAUUCUAGUAUAUCUACCAACUAAUUACAUUUCAAUCCCUACAAUGUCAGGUACCUUGGGCUUUCUCAAAUUACUUUUGAUUUGGGGAAAGAAUUUAAAAAAAUGUUUCCACUGCAAUUAUUUAAUGAUUCAACCUUCAUAGAAACUUAAACUUCAGAGGAGCAAAUAGCCUCAACAGAGGACUAAUUAAGCUUCAUGUUACCCUGGCGAAGUAGGGAGAAUAAGUACGCAGUGAGGCUGCAAUCAUUUCCUCUGAAGUUCGAUUAAAAGCCAAGUUUUAAAAUGUUAGACCAGUGCUAAUCUGCAUGACUGCUUCGGGUUUCAUUUGAGAAAGAAUUGUGGUUGCAAACAUUAACACUAAAAUAUGUGAAUCUAUUUCCAUAAUCAGGGCCCUACGGGAUGGAGCCUAGAUUUAAUAUGGUUUUGGUGCUUACGUGUUUUCCACUACAUUGAUUAAUACUGUCCUCUCAUGUGGAACCCAAUCAGGAGCAACCUGCCAGAGGACUAUUUUCUAUAAAUUUAAGCUGAACUAAUAUCUGUGGAAAUCUUAAGACUAAAGAAGAGUUGAUGAAUAUACUACAAUUAAAGUUGCCUUGUAAAUUGAAGAAUGAAGCAGAGGAUAAUGAACAUAUUGAAAUGAUUCCACAUGUUUUAUGCAUGACACAUUUGUAAUUAAAACGGAUCCUGAAGCUACUCCCACUAAGUGCUCGGUACUGGGCUAGGACAUGCUGCUCACUAUUGUGAGUGAUCGCAGCAACUCAGUUUUGAAUAUUUAUAUAUGUUGAGGUGAAGGAUCUUCCUUGACUACAUCUGAGGAGUUGUGGAAUCCUCAGAAGUAAGUCCUUCUAACAACACACUACAGUAUGAUGCGUUUCUGAUCCAAGCUGCUGUGAAUCCAUGUCAGGAGAAACCUUCAGUUGUGUUUUAAUAAAUGAAAACACAGUAGGGCUGAGAAAUCUGCAGCUACCUGGAAAAAUAAACUCCUUCCCCCUUGGAAACUGCUAAUUUCUUAAAUAUCCACAUUUGCAUUUAGUUUUGGGAAUUUAUAUUGUUUCAAUAAAAAUGAGCAUAUUUGGUU